AGCGUAGGCGGACUUUUAAGUGGGAUGUGAAAUACCCGGGCUUAACCUGGGUGCUGCAUUCCAAACUGGGAGUCUAGAGUGCAGGAGGGGAAAGUGGAAUUCCUAGUGUAGCGGUGAAAUGCGUAGAGAUUAGGAAGAACACCAGUGGCGAAGGCGACUUUCUGGACUGUAACUGACGCUGAGGCUCGAAAGCGUGGGGAGCGAACAGGAUUAGAUACCCCCGUA
rnacentral:rRNA from 1 species